UACAGAGGGUGCGAGCGUUAAUCGGAAUUACUGGGCGUAAAGCGUGCGUAGACGGUAUUAAGUCGGGUGUGAAAGCCCCGGGCUCAACCUGGGAAUUGCAUUCGAGACUGAAUAGCUAGGGUACGGUAGAGGGAAGUGGAAUUUCCGGUGUAGCGGUGAAAUGCGUAGAUAUCGGAAGGAACAUCAGUGGCGAAAGCGACUUCCUGGACCAGUACCGACGUUCAGGCACGAAAGCGUGGGGAGCAAACAGGA
rnacentral:rRNA from 1 species